UACGGAGGAUGCAAGCGUUAUCCGGAAUGAUUGGGCGUAAAGCGUCCGCAGGUGGCUGUGUAAGUCUGCUGUUAAAGAGUCUAGCUCAACUAGAUACAAGCAGUGGAAACUACACGGCUAGAGUACGUUCGGGGCAGAGGGAAUUCCUGGUGUAGCGGUGAAAUGCGUAGAGAUCAGGAGGAACACCGGUGGCGAAGGCGCUCUGCUAGGCCGUAACUGACACUGAGGGACGAAAGCUAGGGGAGCGAAUGGG
rnacentral:rRNA from 1 species